ACCUGUGGCCAUACCUGCUCUUCAAUACCCAAUUUCAUCAGAUCUCAGAAGCUAAGCAAGGCCAGGCCUGGUUAGUAAGUGGAUGGGAGACCACUGUGAAUAGGAGGAGCUGCAGUGG
rnacentral:rRNA from 1 species